rnacentral:rRNA from 1 species
UAAGGCUGAGCUGUGACAGCGAGGGAAAUAUAGUACCGAAGUUCCUGAUUUCACACUGCCAAGAAAAGCCUCUAGCGAGGAGUAUGGUGCCCGUACCGCAAACCGACACAGGUAGGCGAGGAGAGAAUCCUAAGGUGAGCGAGAGAACUCUGGUUAAGGAACUCGGCAAAAUGACCCCGUAACUUCGGGAGAAGGGGUGCUCUGUUAGGGUGUUAAAGCCCGAGAGAGCCGCAGUGAAUAGGCCCAGGCGACUGUUUAGCAAAAACACAGGUCUCUGCGAAGCCGUAAGGCGAAGUAUAGGGGCUGACGCCUGCCCGGUGCUGGAAGGUUAAGGGGAGAGGUUAGCGCAAGCGAAGCUUUGAACCGAAGCCCCAGUAAACGGCGGCCGUAACUAUAACGGUCCUAAGGUAGCGAAAUUCCUUGUCGGGUAAGUUCCGACCCGCACGAAAGGCGUAACGAUCUGGGCACUGUCUCAACCAGAGACUCGGUGAAAUUAUAGUACCUGUGAAGAUGCAGGUUACCCGCGACAGGACGGAAAGACCCCGUGGAGCUUUACUGUAGCCUGAUAUUGAAUUUUGGUACAGCUUGUACAGGAUAGGUAGGAGCCUGAGAAGCCGGAGCGCUAGCUUCGGUGGAGGCGUCGGUGGGAUACUACCCUGGCUGUAUUGAAAUUCUAACCCGCAGCCCUUAUCGGGCUGGGAGACAGUGUCAGGUGGGCAGUUUGACUGGGGCGGUCGCCUCCUAAAGAGUAACGGAGGCGCCCAAAGGUUCCCUCAGAAUGGUUGGAAAUCAUUCGCAGAGUGUAAAGGCACAAGGGAGCUUGACUGCGAGACCUACAAGUCGAGCAGGGACGAAAGUCGGGCUUAGUGAUCCGGUGGUUCCGCAUGGAAGGGCCAUCGCUCAACGGAUAAAAGCUACCCCGGGGAUAACAGGCUUAUCUCCCCCAAGAGUCCACAUCGACGGGGAGGUUUGGCACCUCGAUGUCGGCUCAUCGCAUCCUGGGGCUGUAGUCGGUCCCAAGGGUUGGGCUGUUCGCCCAUUAAAGCGGUACGCGAGCUGGGUUCAGAACGUCGUGAGACAGUUCGGUCCCUAUCCGUCGUGGGCGCAGGAAAUUUGAGAGGAGCUGUCCUUAGUACGAGAGGACCGGGAUGGACGCACCGCUGGUGUACCAGUUGUCUUGCCAAAGGCAUAGCUGGGUAGCUACGUGCGGACGGGAUAAGUGCUGAAAGCAUCUAAGCAUGAAGCCCCCCUCAAGAUGAGAUUUCCUUUUGCUU